GUUUAAAAACUAAAUUUUAUAAAAAGAAACCCUGAGGCUGUAAUCUUCUUUCAGCUUGUUGUGCUUGUGUUUAGGAUAAGUUUAUGUAAACUGAAGGCAUAUAUGCAGGUUUUUUGAGAUAAGAAUCUACAUUCCAGCAACAAGUAAUUAUACAAUAAACAAUUAACUGCUCUAAUAAAUACAAUGUACAAUGUUUUCAUUGAAAGACAGAUUCAUUUUUGAGAUUGCGGUUGCAUUAACUAUGACCUGGGAGUUUGGGGAAAAAACAUAGCAACCAUCAUCAGAUACUUUGAAUAAUCUCAUGAUAGAUAUGAAUAGAAGCCUUACUGUAGUCAAGUAGCUCUCUUAGAAUUUUGAGAUUCUAUUAACUAACAAGAUUUUUGAGAUACUAGAGCUAAAGGUUAUUUUGUAUCCAAUGUUAAUUUUCUCUUUGUUAUGAAGGCUGUGUCUGCAUCUGUUUUGCAAGAGUAAUCAUUCAGAAUGUUCCACCUCACAUCUACAAGCUAAUGUGUUAGCCUGUCUUGUAGUCUUUGAGCAGACUGUAAGAAAGGGGUUUAUUGCAAGGGAGUAAAGAGGGGGAAAUGAAUCAGUCUCCACCAAAGGACCUGAAUAAAUACACAUUUUAAAUUUUAAAAAUAGUCAUUUUUAAAUCCCCAAAUUUCCCAGGAGUUAAUUUUGAAUAGAAAUCCAUGCACUUUUUGAAUGUGAACUUCUACUAUACAAUGCAAGAGAAGGGAUGAUGCAAAAUUAUUUGAUGUAGUCUGUACCAACCUUUGUGGGUCUUGCACCUCCUUGGGAAGGAUAUUUGCCACAAAGCAUAGCCUAGAACAUCACUGCAAAGCUAAAUGUGCCUCCCUUUUCCUAAAAAUAUAUGAAACGGGGAAAAAAAAAGAUGUUUCUCAAUGUAAGUGAUAUAUUUAGUAUGACUUCUUAGUUUAUAUUUUAAACACAAAUGAGGGGAAAAUCAGCAACACAUACUUUUACGUAUGUAAAUGCUUUAAAAAAAACUUCACUUAAUGGAAAUUUCUUACAGAUGAAAAGAUUGCAAAAGAUCAGCAUUUGUGUCACAAGGAUAAUUCUUGCUAAUAAUACAUGCCCAACUGGAAUUGAGGAUCAGUUAGAAAAGUAUUUUCAGGUGUAGCAUAUGUUUAUUUUUUUAAAUGUAAAGAAGACAUUAUAUGUGCUAAGGUUUAUCUAGCUUUUCUAUUUGUGCAAAUUUGUCUAUUUAAAAAAAGCCUCCACCUUAACUUAAAAAAUGUAUCUUGUAAAAAUAACUUGCAUUUAAAUUAGCUUUAUUAUAUGUCUUGUGCAAAUGUGUCUUGUGUGUUACGUGCAGAACGCAGCUGUAUUUUUGUCUAGAAACGUUAAAAGUUUUAAUAUGCUAGACUGAAAGGUAACCCACCGUAUCAUAUGGUUAUGCAGUCAGUUGCUGGUCACAGUGUUGAACCAUGCAAAAACUUAUGCUCAAUAAGAUAAGCACGUUGAUAUGCCCGCACUGAAUUAAGAUUUGAUGAUUCUCUAAAAGGUAGUUAUUACUGUGAAUAGUUGUUGAAGUGCCAGGUAGUGAGUGCAACUGAUAAAUGCAACAGCUGCUUUUUUGCUUGCUUGUUUUUUAAAGAAUUUUAAUUCCUUCCUUAGUUUGGCAUGCUGACUAUUAUGAGCACUCCUAUGCUAUAAGUAGAUAAAAUGGAAAAUGGAUCCACUGUUAAUAGAUCUCAGACACAGAAAUUUAUUUAGAAGUCUAAAACCUAGUGUCCCUUAUAGGCAAGUGUAGAGGUCGCAGUACUCUUCCUGGCUCAUCAGAUCUGCUCUGCCUCUUCUUGUCAUCUUAAUGAAAAUGAAGCAAAUGCAGUAAUGUUGCCAAUUUUUUUAUUAUUUGGUGACUUCUAUAAAAGUUUCCCAUGAUGUCGUGAUUCCUGGCAUCAAAUGUUCAAUUUUUCCCUUAUGCUGAGUGACUGCCCCCUCAUCCCAGGGGAUCAAAGAAGCCUAAGCUAUGGAGGAGGACAUCCAUCACAUUCAGAAACAGAUCUUCUUCACAGACAGACAUAUACAUCUUCUCAUCAACUUCCUGGAUACUCUGCUACACACCAUCCUACUGGUCUUUCGGGAAUAUUUGAUAGCAGUAUGCACAGCGCUGGAAGUAACACUAAGGAAACUUCAGUAAUGAAUUUUCUUUCUGCAAUUGAGUCUCGUACCGCUCAGGCAGCCUCUUCAGGAUCUACCCUUUUACCGCAAUUCAGGGCUCCUUCCUGGCAGACAGGUAUGCAUUCCUCAACAGCCACAGAACUAUUUGUUACUGGAGCAUUGCCAACCUCUGGAACGUUUCCACCAACAUCUGCUUUAUCAGCUUAUCAGCAUCCCAACACUUUCAGCAGUAGGAACUUUGCUACUACUCCAUCUCUUACUCUUCAAGAUACUACUUUCAGUGCUACAUCAAAUGGUCUCUUAACUACCCAUGAUCCCUUAUUACAAAUAAAAACAUCACAAGGCACUGUUCCAACUGCUUUGACAUUUGAGCGCCUAGGCAGUUCUGUUUUAAGUACAAGUAUACCACCUCAAUCAUCAACAUACCGUUCUGCUCAAGAAUCCGCACCUCAUCUUUUGCAGCCUCAGUUUAGUUUGUUACCUUCAACCCUUGGAGGAGCUCAGCAGGUUUCUCAGGCAUACAGCACAUCUGUCUUUACUGGUUCCACUGCUUCUAUUGACAGAGCACUUCAGCGAGAAUGUAGUGUUAUUAAACACCAUCAGCGGCCUUCAAGUACUCAGUCUGUUCAGGCUCAACUGACUGUUUCACAGCAUUCCUUACACAGCUAUUUAACGAGUACAAGUGGAGUUAAUUUUCAGGAUACAUCUAGGCACUCAGCAUUAUCGUGUAGUCCAGCUGGAGAUGUUACUCAGGUGAGCAAUGGAGGACCACAGCAGAAGACUUCUCAAGUCACAGUGGAACUUGCUCAGUCUUAUACAUCUGCAAUUCCAUCACCUGGUUUUCCAUCUGUUUCCACAGCAAAAGUGAAAAACUGUUCCACAAAGCAGCCUCCAAGGUCAACAAAGACCCCCAAACCUCAAAGUGUAGCUCCUACUGUGCAGACACAAAGCUAUCCCAAAACUGCACAAAACCAGAGUUCUGUAAUUACAGGCCAAGCACAGAUCUAUUCUACAGCACAGCUCCCCAGUCUCUUGUCAGUCAGCCAGUCCCAAAACUAUGUUUCAUCCCAGGCUCAGAAUGUGCCACCUGUCAGUCACUCACAGGAUUUCUCAUCUAGCAAGAUUGAGAAGCUGCCCUCAUUGUAUAAAACAUUGACUUUUUCUGGGCAAUCACAAACUAUUACUUCUGACAGUCAAACACUAAGUUACUCCUCAGAUCAACAGGUAUUGACUUCGGUUCCAAAUGAGAAUUACUCUGGGCAAACGAGAGAACUUUCUUCAGUCAGUCAAUCUCAGAGCUAUUCUUCUAGUCACUCUCAGGGUUUAUCUCCAGUUAGCCAAUCCCAAGUUAGUUUUUCAUCUCAAUCACAAGUUUUAUCAGCUGUUAGUCCUUCAGAUAGCUAUUCGUCAGGGCAGUCUUUAACAUUAACAUCACCUUCUCUUCCCUUUUCUGCCUCUCCUCGGAUACAAACUCUUCCGGCCUCAAGUCCUAAUCAGAACUUUAUUUCUUUGCAUUCUUCUCAGAACUCUCAGACACAAGAAUCCUCCUCUCCACAGUCUCAAAAAUUUCUACCCUCUGUCCAGUCUCCUCCUUUUGCAUCUCCAGCUCAUUCACAGACAAUGCAGAACAAUAGGCCUUCCUCAGAAACAAAAUCAUAUGUUAAAAGGAAGUCUGACUCCAAUUUGUAUGUUUCAUCAAAACAAGAGGAAGAAUUAUCAAUGCAGGAUAUGCAAGCAUUGCAACAGCAGGCUUCUCUUGAAUCUUCUACCCAAAGGCUAACAGAUGAUGAAAUCAGUGCUCAGGAUGCAUCCUACAGAGUCUCAAAAGCAGAUGACAGAUAUUCUCAAAGUGUAAUCAGAAGUAACUCUCGUCUUGAAGAUCAAGUUGUUGGACUUGCUCUUCAAGGAUCAAAAAAAGAUGAAAGAAUGGUUAAUUCUGUGGAACAGCUUUCCCAACAUAUUGGCCAUAUCACCAGUAUAAGCCAUGAUAUAAAAAAGGCAGCUAAUCUAAUGCAAACGACACAAGUAAAUGUGAGUGCUAAAGAACUAAACCAGCAACACACUCUCAUGCAUAAGGUGCAUGACAAUAAAGCUCAAGAACAGCAAGGCCAGGUCAUUAGUACACCACCACAGGUUCAACCUCAUGCUUUGAGACAUAGUCAUCAGCUGUGUUUGCCUAGUGCACAGGUACUUCUGGAGUCUGCUUGUGACUUACAGAUUCUUCAUCAGUCAAUUCUGCAGUCAAGUUUAGGACAAGCAAAGGUAACACCACAAGUGCAAAGAAUACAGAGUCCUCAGCAGGUGGCACAUCCAUUCCUUCAGAUGGAUGGUCAUAUUAUUCAAAGUAACGGGGGCCAUUCUCAGCAGCAGCUUCAUGCUCAGAAUUCAGAAGUAAUGAAAAUGGACAUUUCUGAGUCCUCGAAACCGCUACAGCAACAUUUGACAACAAAAGAUCAUUUUACGCAAACAAAUCAACAUGAUUCAAAAAAUCAGUUUGUUUCUCUUAGUUCAAUAUGUUUCCCAGAAACUAUGCUUCUCAGUGAUGAGAGGAAUAUAUUGUCAAAUGUAGAUGAUAUCUUAGCAGCAACAGCAGCAGCCUGUGGAGUGACUCCAUCUGACUUUGCCAAAUCAGCACCUCAUGAAGAAGAAAUUCAGUCUGUUGAAAAUAGCGAGGAUUCUAAAACACAGUUUCGAGCAAUGGAGGUAAGACAUGUGUCUUCUGGUUUCAGUGCCUCACCUACUUUAGUUGGAAAGCCACCAAGUCUAAAUAAUAUUUCUCUGAACGGAGGCCAAAUUACUAUAAAUCUUACGCCAGUGUCAACAAUACAGACAAAAACUGUGAACCUUGAUCAACAACAUAUUGAAACUUCUGAUCAAAAUGUGCCAACUAGAAUGACCUCUCCCACCCUUGGCCCUGGUCAAGAGGAGCAAGAACAAGGGGUUGUUUCAGUUAAGAAACAAUCUAGCAUCAGUCAUGAAUCUGAAGAAGAUAACGAAGUUCCUGUUGAUGGUACACUGAAUGCAAGAGAGACAGAAUUUGUUUCAAGUGGUAAAAGUCUAAGUGAAGAAAGUGCUACAUCAGAGAAUGAUUUUAAUAUGGGUUGUGAUGAUGGUACAGUAGCAGGUAACCAGUCAAAAGGUCCUUUGCAGCCAACAGCUGUGCCCCAAGGUGGAGAGGGAACCAUUAGCAGAACUGAAGAAGAAUGCCAAGACUUAGCUCAAGGGAAUCUUCAGAAGAAAAAAAGCAAAGGAAAAAGCCAAAACAAAAAUGCUGCAGAAGAUGACAGUGCAAUUCAGAAACAGAUAAAAAGAAGUGGGCAAUGUAAACGUCAAAAUUCAAGAGGAAACGAUUCCUGUUUGACAUAUUCUUCUCCUGUUUCGGAAAGUUGUUAUGAUACUUACCAGCAUCAAGAAAGAAUGAGGCAAAAAAUCAAAGAAGUUGAAGAAAAGCAACCUGAAGUCAAAACAGGAUUUAUUGCAUCUUUUUUAGACUUUCUAAAGUCUGGGCCGAGGCAACAGUUUUCGGCUCCAGCUGUACGAAUGCCCAACAGGACUAGGCGACCAGUUACUCAAAUAGUUCGUGCCCCUUGCCUACAGUCAUCUUCAAAGCCUCAGCCAGCAGCAGCACCUGUAGCUGUGGAAGUUAGUGGAGAAAGUCCAACCAAGAAAGCUGAUGAAGAACUUAAGAAAAAUUUAGAAACAUUGCCUUCAUUUUCUUCUGAUGAAGAUGAUUCUGUGGGAGGUAACCACGAUCUUCAGAAGAGCAUCUCUACUGCAUUGUCAGCUUUGGAUGAUACUUCUGACAGAAAGAAUAAAUCAGAAGCUGAAAAAGUGGCAGUUGUUACUGCUGCUGCUGCCACCACUACUGCUGUAAUAAAGCAGGAACCUCCACAGACAACUGCUGCUGUAGUCAAUGUGCAGGAGAAAAUGAGUUCGGCUGAUUCCCUAAAAGUAGCUCAACAGGAAGCUGUGACUUCAGACCAGUUAGCAAAAAUACAGGCAACUGUUGCAAUAGAAGGAUGUACUGAUGAGGAGAAUACGGACAGUGGAGGAGAGGGCAUGUACAGAGAACGUGAUGAAUUUGUAGUGAAGAUUGAAGAUAUAGAUACACUAAAGGUUGCUUUACAAACAGGAAAAGAGCCUCCAGCUAUUUGGAAAGUCCAGAAGGCUUUGUUGCAAAAGUUUGUUCCUGAAGUGCGAGAUGGACAGAGAGAGUUUGCUGCUACUAACAGUUAUCUUGGAUAUUUUGGGGAUGCAAAAACAAAAUACAAACGGGUGUAUGUGAAGUUCAUUGAAAAUGCAAACAAAAAGGAAUAUGUCAGAGUAUGUUCAAAAAAACCACGAAGCAAGCCUGUACAGUCAGCAAGGACUAUUCAUUGCAAGCCUAGCAGUAGUAACAACAAAACCCCUGAUCCUCCAACACCAAAACCAACAGCAACAAAAGUCUCUUCUGUGAAACCCAAAGCUAAGCAGCCGAAGGUAAAGGCUGAACCACCACCAAAGAAAAGGAAGAAAUGGAAAGAGGAAUUUUCGUCUUCCCAGUCUGAUUCUUCUCCUGAGGCCCAGAGUGAUGAGGAUGAGUUUAUACCUCCAGCUCCCUUUGUUACUCGCUUUUUGAAUACGAGAGCUAUGAAAGAGACUUUUAAGAGCUAUAUGGAAUUGCUUGUUAGCAUUGCCUUGGAUCCAGACACGAUGCAAGCCUUGGAAAAGAGCAAUGAUGAGCUACUUUUGCCUCACAUGAGAAAAAUUGAUGGCAUGCUGAAUGACAACAGGAAAAGGCUGCUUACCAAAUUACGCUUGGAUCAUACUUUCAAGAACGCUUUGGAAAACUUUCCUGAGCUGACAGUAAUCACUCGGGAUUCUAAGACAAAAACUGGGGGAACGUCUGUGUCCAAGAUCAAAAUGAAUGGUAAAGCUUACAACAAGAAAACGCUGAGGGUUUCUAAAUCAACCACUAAGUUAGCACAGGAAUUUACUGUAGAUCCAGACAAAAUACAGUUGUAUUCUUUGUAUCACUCACUCCAUCAUUACAAAUAUCAUAUAUAUCUGACAUGUAAAGAGGAGAUUUCUUCUGUUCAGAAAAAGAGUGCAGAUCUAGGACAGGAAGAGAUUGUGCAGCUGUGCAUGAAAAAUAUAAAAUGGGUGGAGGAUCUUUUUGAAAAGUUUGGUGAACUUCUGAAUCGUGUCCAGCAGAAAUGCUCAUAACAAAUAUGUAUCCCAGAUUUCACAUUUUUCUACGGCACUAACCUGAGGGAACAGAAAGCUCAGAGAAAGGCUCUGAUUUCUUUCACAAUGCCAGACUGCGUUCUUGUUCAUAGGCAUUUUUAUUCCUCUGUAUGGAACUUUGUGCCUUGGCUCUUGCUAAGGAAAAGCAAUGCUGCCAAGGAAAUCAGUCCUUUGGAGAUGGAACUAAACAUAAACCUUACCACGUUUUUAACCUGAAGAAUUAUUUUCUAUUUUGUAAACUAUUGGAUAACUUAGUUUUAUUUUCAGAAAUGUUUUUGACAAAUGAUAAAGCAUGCACUACAUAUACUUUUUUCUUUAUCGCUAAAAAGAUAACAACACUUAAAAUACUACAGAUUUUUUUCCAUCUCUGCAACAGGAAAAAGUCAGCAUUGGGGUGAACUAAUUUUCACAUGUGUCUGGCCACCAAAUUUAGAGUAUUGUACAUUUCAUGAACAGAGCCGGAGUGACAUCAGUUCCUGCAUACAUAUAUUGCUAUCAUAAAAAAAAAAAACAGUAAUGUCAUUAUGCUUUAUGGACUCCUUUUACUAUUGUCAUGUUCAGGAGACUGAACAUGGAGUUGGUGCAAUCCUAUGACUGCUUUUUGUGUCAAAUUAUAUUGUAAUGAAAGACAAUGACCUUAACUAUUUUCCCUGUUUUGAAGAAAAAAAAAAUAUUUUCCUUUAUACUGUGUUUUUUUUCUGUUGGAAAAAAAAAUUUCAAUUGUACAUUUUAUCUCACUAAUAGUUGUAUUUUUCACAGAGAAAAUAUUGUGGUUAAAAUUGUUUCAUGUAUCUUUGUAAUACACUUUCCAUUGUUUUCAGUAAAUCCUAAUCAUUUAUAUGUUGAUUUCAUAUUGUAAGCUAUAUAUCUCGAGGUAACACGUUGUUUAUACAGGUUUGCUUCAGUGUUAACCAGAAUAAUGCAUAGUAGACUAGUUUUGCUUUAAGUGUAGUUGUGUUAGACACUGCAAUUAUUUUCCGAUACGUGAAAAUAAAUUUCUUACUAAACUAGCACUUGAUUAACCGAGAGUUUAAAUGAGGAGCUACUACACUUUAUCUUCGUCAACAAAGAUUGUUGAUUGGAUAGACUAUAUGCAGUGUUAAACACAGCUUACAUAGUUGUUUGUAGAACUGGCAGUUGCAGAGCUGUUCUCUUCUUGGUGCCUUUCAAGUCUUCAAACAUCUUUCUGUAGCUUUUUUUUCCUCCAGUUUAUUAACAGUUAGUAGUGCCACUAGUCACACUCAGACAAUGAAUGUAAUGGGCUCUAAUCCAGAGAACAUUUUCUCUAAAUUUGCAAACAGAAUGCCUUACUGAGUCAUUCAGAAUGGAGAUGUAAUCUACUGGGGUCCUAAGGGGAAGAAAAAAAAAAAAAAAGCAUGUUCUUUCUUCAGAUAAUGUAGACAAAAAAUCAUUCCUUUAUCCUUUCACUGCCACUUAGUGCCUUAAUUUCAGCCAAGAAAGCAGGGUUCACUAUUCAUUGGCCAAAUGAAAUAAUCUUCGUUGCCAUGUGACCUAUUUUCCCGUUUUCUGUUUUGAUUGUAUUUAGUUGUUAAAUAUUCAUUAGACCGUAGAACUUUGAAACGUUUAAUGAAUAGAUGUGAUAAUGAAAUGAUUUGAUCUUCAGUAAUAAAAUAGAGAUUUGAAAAUUAAAGUAUGUACAGAAUUUUAGCCAAUUAGUUUUAGAACCUUCUAGUAUGUUUACCAUAUUUCCAAAGGUUUUCAUCUUUUAAAAGCAAUAAUUCUUUAAAAUUUAUACGCAGACUGCAGUGAACAGACUGAGUCAAGAACAGAAAUGGGUAUGUGCCCCUGCCUUUUUUUUAAAGCCUCUUCAUAGUGUUUUUGCUUUAAAAAGAGAAUUAACUGUCAUAUUAAUAGAUACUUUGUGCUACUGCUACAUCUACUAUAAUCAAGGGGAGUGAUAUGGGUUUUGAUUUAGGAAGAGUGUGCAGAAUGUUGUACAAAUCAUGAAGCUAAUUCAUUUUAACAGUGAAAAGAAAGGUAGAUGUAGGGUGGAAGAGUUGCCAUUGUUUCAGUCAUUCUCUGUUAAAUCUGGUAGGAGCUAAAGUUUGUGUGGUGAACCAAGCGGCAAAGUUACCAGCAUCGAUAAUGAUCAGUUAAAUUCAUUUUAAUGUGACUGUGCACACUGGAGGCAUAAUAGAAAUGUGCCUUGUGUACUAUUUGAUCUCUAGUAGGGGUUCCAAACUUGAGUAUAUUCUCUAACUGGCUGGGGUGGUUGGCAGCAGUUCCUGGCUGUGUGGAUUCAUGAGGGGUGUUUAAUUGCUCAGGCAGAGUUCAGUUGUCACAUUACAGUGGUGUGCACAACACAGUUUGGGAGCUCCUAAUCAGUAGUUUUAGAAAUGAUUAGGAUGCAGACUGAGCAAAGUUGGCUCCUUGAUUGUACAGUAAAGAACUCACUAGACUUUGUCUCCCCCUUCCUAAUAUGACUGUGAAGUAACUCAUUAAGAGAGGUUUAUAUGCUUUCAAAAUGAUUUAUAUGCCGCUACUUUAUGCUUCCUGUAGAUUUUUGAAUCUAGAAGUAGCUUUAGGAAGCUACGUGUUUUAAACCAAGCCCUUAGAUACUGAAAAAGAGAUGAGAAGUUUUUGGAGUAGUUGGUUCACAUUAAAAAGCCGGUAACUUUAGCAACAACCAUCUUAAAAAAAAAAAAAAAAUGGCCAGGAUGCUCUGCACUGCCUAGAAGGUGACCUGGCUUAUUUUUGACUGUUUUAUUCCUAAGGCCAGCGAAACAAGCACUGUGCCUAUAAAAGACAGGAAAAGCCUAUCCUGAAUGAAAGUAACCCCAGACUAUUACAGAUUAUUAUAAUAGAGCUUCCAUCUUUGUGUUGGGCUACACAUAUGGUGGCUGGAUUACUAUUUUACCAAAUUAGGAUGAAGUGAAAAAUGGAACUCUCAAGUAUGUGAAGGAUCAUAAAGUAAAAUAAAGCUUUGUUAGUGGGAUUGAAGAAGAUUUUUAUACUGAAGCAAACUUAGAAAAAAACUCAAUGUACAAAUUACUUUUCACACAAAUAUUUUGCUUUAUUUUGUUGCAUUUUAGAUAAUUAAUUCUGCACCCACACCUCAGUCUUCUUUCUUUUCUGAAGUAACAGUGAGGUCCUCAUCCCUUAACAUCUGCUGACAGUGGAAAUUGAGCACUCAUUUGACUGCAAGAGAAGAUGCACUAGGAAGGAACAAAACCCUCCUGAGACUAUGAAUUAGCAAAUUAGAAAUUAAUGAAACUAACAGCAUGAUGAAAUAUUUGGUUUUUAAUUCCACCAUUUUUUCCUUUAAUAUGGCAUCCCUGUUUACAUCAGGUUUGUUUUUAUUGAAAUACAGUAUUUCUCUUAAAGGCAGGUUUUCUUUGAGAUGCUGUUUCCAAAGUUUUGCUAGAAAAGAAUCAGAGACAAAAUUGGAUUGAAAAACUGUCUCUGAAAAUGGCUAAGGAGUUUAGGGUCUCUAAAGUUAUAUGACGUGUAUCUUAUUCAUAUAUUGUCUAAAUGGAAUACUACUUUUUAAAAAAGCAAAUCUUACAAGCUGUCUUCCAAGUAAAUGCUUUCCAUAGGGGAAAUAUAUUUUAAAUAUUAUUUAAAUAUUUACUACUAUUUAAAACAAUUUUAAAACAGAAAAGCUAAAUCUAUGGUCAUAAAAUGUCAGUGUGUCAUCAGUCAUUUUCUGUUUUGUUGCCAACACUUGACAUUUGGUCUCUCUUACCCUGUUAGACACCUGUGCAUUACACAAUGCGCAUUCUGCCAUAUCUUAUUGUUUAAGCUAAUAUUAACAUGUCAUUGUUAACAAAUGCAUGUUUUCUGCGUAUCUCCUCUGCGUAUGGCAAAAAUGAGGCUAGGGCUAAUGAGAGACACUUUAUGCAUUCUUAGUCCAGAUUUUCAGGUGGUCCAUUAUACAAUGUAUGGAAAUGUGAAAAAGGACACAGUUUUGUACCGUUCAUGAUGUUAUUAACUAAACCCAUUAAAGUGAAAACAGUUUUUAAACAAAAACCUUAUAAUGCUCAGUGAUUUAUUAUUAAAAUAUUAAGUCUUGAAAAGCUAGAUUGUUGGAAAAAAGUGGCUUUUUAGACAACAUUUUCUGAUCUUUUCAAUAUGAAGAAAUACAAUUCUAGUUCUUUUUCAUUAUAUUGUAUGAAUUCAGGAACAUGUCCCAUUUAUCUGAUUUUUUUACAUGUAUAGUUCUAAAUGUUCUUGAACUCAUUUUCACUAUAUAUCUGCCAGUUCUGAAAUUGAUAUGACAAAUGAGGAGCCAAACAAUUGCGAUAAAUGAGAGGCUGUCUUCUUCUGUGAUUCAGAUGUUUUUAGAUACGCUGUUUUCUUUUGUUCUCUUUGUUCUCUGAGUAGAAUAUCUCCAUGUACCUAUGGGAAAAAUGGUGCUAAAGGCUGAGAUUUUUUUCAAUUGCAGUAACUUAUUCCAGAUAUUUUCUUAGAAAUUUUGUUCCAACACACACAGGGCUGAAAUCCCACAUCCUUCAUUUCUUUGAUUAUUUAUUAUUUCUUUGAUCUUAGCCUUAAGAUAUAUGGUGGCCCUUCUCUGAGCCACUUGCUUACAGAAAAAGGUGAAUCUGGAGAGCUGGAAUAUUUUUGUAAUGGUCCUGUGUAUAAGAGCUGCUUCCCAAACCAAGAUGAGUAAAAGACUAGCCAUUUGCCCAUGGAGUUAUUGUGUUGUCUUUCCCAAAGAGCACUUUGGGAAAUAGUCAGCACAGAGAAUGUCCUUUUGCAAUGUGGAAGCUGAACUUUUUUUAAUGCUGCAUUCUGAUUUGCUUUAUAAUUUAGGAAGGUUCUUUCUUUCUUUAAAAAAAAAGAGAAAAAAAAAAAAAGAAAUGCAAGAAGCCGAAAGCAUACAGCCUCUUAAAGGAGAGGAACAGCUCCUACAGUGAGUAAUCUGUUGGUAAAUAUCUUAGAGUCAAAGUAACUUAUUCUGCAUAGGUAUUUGCCUCUCUUGUAGAAGCCUAACAAAUCUUUGCUUCAUUUCCAGAGAAUUAAAGAACAGAAAACUUUCUUAAAACUCCUCAUAAUUUGAUCUCUUGUAAAAGCAUAAUGGUGAAUACAGAGAAUGAGCUAUAUGUAAAGAAGCGGAAGUAAAAGGGAAAAAGUAGGCAAAAGGAUCCAUUUUUACCAGCCAACAUACCAAGGGAUAGAGGGAAGCAGCAAUAGCAGCAGUGCCACACGGAUAGGACUGAAGAGCAGUUAAGGCCCUUCAUUUGGAGAAAAACAGAUCCAGAAUGAGGUCUCCUUCAUUUGUGCCCAGAAUGCCUGGAAAUUACAGGUUCUCUCUCAUCCAAAUACUGGGUGGCUGCCCAGCUUCCA